AGUUCGAUCAUGGCGUCAGAUUGAACGCUGGCGGGAUGCUUUACACAUGCAAGUCGAACGGCAGCACGGACUUCAGUCUGGUGGCGAAGUGGCGAACGGGUGAGUAAUGUAUCGGAACGUGCCUGAAGUGGCGGGGGAUAACUACGCGAAAGCGUAGCUAAUACCGCAUACGCCCUUCGGGGGAAAGCGGGGGACCUUCGGGGCCUCGCGUAUUAGAGCGGCCGAUAUCGGAUUAGCUAGUUGGUGGGGGUAACGGCUCACCAAGGCGACGAUCCGUAGCUGGUUUGAGAGGACGACCAGCCACACUGGGACUGAGGGCGGCCCAGACUCCUACGGGAGAGCAGCAGUGGGAAUUUUGGACAAUGGAAACCCUGAUCCAGCCAUCCCGCGUGUGCGAUAAUUCAGACAAGCACUUUUGGCAGAAAGAAACAGCACGGGACCAUACCCGUGCACAACUGACAGUGUGCAACAGAAUAAGCACCGGCUAACUACGUGCGAACGCGGUAAUACGUAGGGUGCAAGCGUUAAUCGGAAUUACUAGGCGUAAAGCGAUGCGAGCGGUUCGGAAAGAAAGAUGUGAAAUGGUGAAGCUCUUUUGGAUGGUUUAACAUUACCGAGCUGAAGUGUGUCCAGAGGGAGGUGGAAUUCCGCGUGUAGCAGUGAAAUGCGUAGAUAUGCCGGAGGAACACCGAUGGCGAAAACAGCCUCUGGAGAUAACACUGAACGCUCAUGCACGAAAGCGUGGGGAGCAAACGGGAUUAGAUACCCUGGUAGUCCACGCCCUAAACGAUGUCAACUAGCUGUUGGGGCCUUCGGGCCUUGGUAGCGCAACUAACGCGUGAAGUUGACCGCCUGGGAGUACGGUCGCAAGAUUAAAACUCAAAGGAAUUGACGGGGACCCGCACAAGCGGUGGAUGAUGUGGAUUAAUUCGAUGCAACGCGAAAAACCUUGUUAUCAAUGUCGUGUCGAAUCGAGGACGGGAGUGCUCGCAAAGAGAACGGAACACAGGUGCUGCAUGGCUGUCGUCAGCUCGUAAUUCGUGAGAUGUUGGGUUAAGUCCGCAACGAGCGCAACCCUUGUCAUUAGUUGCUACGAAGAGGAGCACUCUAAUGGACGUGCCGGUGACAAACCGGAGGAAGGUGGGGAUGACGUCAAGUCCUCACAUGGCCUAUGGGUAGAACUGCACGUCAUACAAUGGACGGGACAGAGUCGCCAACCCGCGAGGGAAGGCCAAUCCCGAAGUGAUCGUAGUCCGGAUCGCAGUCUGCAACUCCACGACUGCGUGAAGUCAGAAUCGCUGGUAAUCGCGGAUCAGCAUGUCGCGGUGAAUACGUUCCCGGGUCUUGUACACACCGCCCGUCACACCAUAGAAUUAGGUUUGGCAAAGUGAUUAACGCUGAUGUUGGAGAAACGUUGUGACAGUUCAUGACUGGGUGAAGUCAUGCUAAGGUAGCCCUGUUACUGCCUGACAUCAAGAUG
rnacentral:rRNA from 1 species